rnacentral:misc_RNA from 1 species
GGAGAAGACUCGUAAGAAAGGCCCAGCCUUUUACCUGUUCUUUCUUCUCUCUCUCUAUCUCUUUCUCUGUCCCGCUCUCUGUCUUUCAAGAUCUCACUGAAGAAUCUUUCAAUCACAGUUAAAGUAAAUUCUUUCUUCCAAGAUUUCACACACAGAAACCAAAAAUGGCGUUAUCUGUUCAGAAUCUGAUCAAAGAAAAGAAGUUCUUUUUCAUUUUCGCUUUCUUUGUCUUGCUCAUCUGCACCACUUUCCUUUUGUACACAAAUGACACUCGUUUCUCUUCCUUAUCCUUCUCUGAUCUCCAAAAACAAUCCAACCCAUCUUCUUCCCAGUCAUUCUCUCCACCCCCAAUUGCCAUCCCAUCCCCUCCACCGCCUCUUGCCACCGUUUCGCCACCCACCACUGUCAUUACUACCGCCGACAGCAAUGAUGAUGCUAGUGGGAAUGGAAAUGGAAAUGGGAAUGAUGAAGAUAGUUCGGUUCUUGUUGGUGGCGAUUUGGGUGGGAUUGAGAAGAUACAGUGGGAGCUCUGUAAGGGGACCGUGGCAGUGGAUUAUAUACCGUGUUUAGAUAAUUCUAACGCCAUAAAAGAACUGCAAUCGAGGAGGCAUAUGGAGCAUAGAGAGAGGCAUUGCCCCAAGCCAAAUCCAAGAUGUUUGCCUCCGCUUCCUAAAGGAUAUAAGGUGCCCCUUCUGUGGCCUAAGAGCAGGGACAUGAUUUGGUAUGAUAAUGUCCCUCACCCUAAGCUUGUUGAAUACAAGAAAGAUCAAAACUGGGUGCGCAAGGAGGGUGAUUUUCUUGUUUUCCCAGGAGGUGGUACUCAAUUCAAGGAUGGAGUUACUAACUACAUCAAUUUCAUUGAAAAGACUUUGCCAAUUAUCCAAUGGGGAAGGCGCACAAGGGUAGUUUUAGAUGUCGGUUGUGGAGUUGCUAGCUUUGGUGGCUAUUUGCUGGACAAAAAUGUUAUCACCAUGUCAUUUGCUCCAAAGGAUGAACAUGAAGCUCAGAUACAGUUUGCUCUAGAGCGAGGAAUUCCUGCUACAUUAUCUGUCAUUGGGACAAAAAAAGCUGACAUACCCUGAUAAUGCAUUUGAUCUGAUUCAUUGUGCACGAUGCAGGGUUCAUUGGGAUGCAGAUGGUGGAAAACCACUAAUGGAGCUCAACAGGAUACUGAGGCCUGGAGGUUUCUUUGUAUGGUCUGCUACACCAGUAUACCGUGAUGAUGAAAGAGAUCGCAAUGUUUGGAAUUGUGAGCUGAUAUUCUUUCUUUUUUCAUGCGUGCAAGUCUGUUGCCUUGGACAACCCCUCCUCCCUUUUCUUCUCAUAACCCUUUAAAUUCAUUGUCUUCAAUUGACUUGUGCUCACUAUUGGAUUGGAUGGUUUGUGUUAUGAUUUCUUUCUCUCUCUUUUUUUUUUUCUGUUGUUUGCAAAUAUCAUUAGGAGAAUUUAAGUGAAGGGGUGAUUGUGUUGAAAGAUGUUCUAAGUUGGAUGAUUAUCUUCUAUGUUUUGUGCAGCUAUGGUGGCUUUGACAAAUUCUAUGUGCUGGAAGAAUGUGGCUAAGACUAUGGAUUCAUCAGGAAUUGGGCUUGUAAUCUAUCAGAAACCUGACUCAUCUUCAUGCUAUGACAAUCGCAAAGAACAAGAUCCUCCUUUUUGUGAUCAGAAUGAUUCACAAAAUGUUCCAUGGUAUGCACCUCUCACGAGAUGCCUUUCAAGACUUCCAGUGGAUACCAAAGGUAACUUGGUCAGCUGGCCUGCACGAUGGCCUUAUAGGCUUAACAGUUUGCCUCCAAGGCUGUCAACUGAGCCGGAUUCUGGAGAUACGUUUUACGAGGACACCAGACAUUGGUCAGUGCUUGUAUCUGAUGUUUAUCUGAAUGCAGAUGCUAUAAACUGGUCAAGUGUGCGGAAUAUAAUGGAUAUGAAUGCUGGCUAUGGAGGGUAAGAAUUAUUUAGUUUGAUAAUUAUAUAGGGUCACACUUCCUAGGCAGCGAAGGAAUAUGUUAUUAUUAUUAAGCUUUCUUAAUGUGCAUCAAUAUAUUGGAAACUACAAAUUAAAGUUACUUUAUUACCUGCAGUUUUUUCAGGGAUGCUUUUGUUUCUUCUAUCAUUUCAUUGAUUAGUUAUUUGUCGAUGAUGAUGGGUUAUAAAAGUUUAGAAACACUUAUCACAUGUGAAAUUCAGCAGCCACAGUAGUUCCAGUGGCUUUUGGUGCUCAAUUGCUCUGUAAAUAUUUCUUGGACUGCUUUAAUAUUUUUCUUUUUACAGAUUUGCAGCAGCACUAGUUGAUCUUCCUUACUGGGUGAUGAAUGUUAUCCCCUUUGACACAGAAGAUACUCUGUCCAUUAUUUUCGACAGAGGGCUAAUCGGAAUUUAUCACGACUGGUGUGAAUCACUUAGUACCUAUCCUCGAACAUAUGAUGUAUUGCAUUCCAGCUUCCUCUUCAAAACUCUAACACAAAGGUGCGACCUCAUAGAUGUAGCUGCGGAGAUGGAUCGGAUAGUGAGACCUGGCGGAUAUGUUUUGAUUCAAGAUACCAUGGAAAUGAUUCACAAGCUUAGUUCGAUAUUAGGUUCUCUUCAUUGGUCUACCAGUCUCUAUCAGAAACAAUUUCUCAUUGGUAGGAAAGGUUUCUGGCGUCCUGGCUGACAGCUAAAACAAAGCAUAGAAAACCUGCUAUUUGCACUUGCAAUUUCACAUUUGAAGUUUGGUAAGUGUAGAAAAAGUAAAAGGCAAGAACAGAAAGCAGAAAGUGAUUCUUAUUGCAUGACUUUGGCUGAGAAUUCUAAAUCUUAGUCUAUUCUUUCUUCUUCCCUCAUAUUAUUACUUGUUAUAGUGUAAAAUCUUACAAACAUGUUAAUGAGGCAUUUAUGCAUGGCUUGACUAGUUGUAUGCUUCUUCUUCUUACCUACAUUAUAAUUCAGCUUAAUUUAUAACUAGUUAUUACUUGUUUCA